UACGUAGGGUGCAAGCGUUAAUCGGAAUUACUGGGCGUAAAGCGUGCGCAGGCGGUUUUGUAAGUCUGUCGUGAAAGCCCCGGGCUCAACCUGGGAAUUGCGAUGGAGACUGCAAGGCUUGAAUCUGGCAGAGGGGGGUAGAAUUCCACGUGUAGCAGUGAAAUGCGUAGAGAUGUGGAGGAACACCGAUGGCGAAGGCAGCCCCCUGGGUCAAGAUUGACGCUCAUGCACGAAAGCGUAGGUAGCGAACAGG
rnacentral:rRNA from 1 species